GGAUCCUCCACCAGCAAGAACUGGUUCAGGACCCUCAAGGAAGGUAUGUUGUUAUUCAAGUUGUCAAUUAAUCAUAAUGCAUUAAUUUAUACCAGUUGGUGUUGUUAUCACCUUAUUUCAGCUGCAUAUUUUUUAGCAAAUUUCUGCAUUUGCUAGGUAGAUUGCUUCUGAUUUAGUAAACAAUUGAAUUUAAACAUAAAUAGGUGUUUUACGAAUUAUCUAAGUAAAACAGUGCAAAUGUCUAGGUAUUGGGCAUUCAUGUGUUAAGUGUGAAUUGUUUUCAUUCAAGGCAGGAAUAGAUAAAAGGAUGCCGUAUGUACAAAGGGAAUUU
rnacentral:misc_RNA from 1 species